rfam:Asian citrus Psyllid, Diaphorina citri - Florida Strain, whole genome shotgun sequence.
GUCAGCUUAGCUUGUAGUGUAGAGCACCUACCUUGUAAGUAUGAGGUUGUGGGUACAAUUCCCACUUGGCG